rnacentral:rRNA from 1 species
CCUACGGGUGGCUGCAGUGAGGAAUAUUGGUCAAUGGCCGCAGGGCUGAACCAGCCAAGUCGCGUGAGGGAUGAAGGUUCUAUGGAUCGUAAACCUCUUUUAUAAGGGAAUAAAGUGUGGGACGUGUCCUAUUUUGUAUGUACAUUAUGAAUAAGGAUCGGCUAACUCCGUGCCAGCAGCCGCGGUAAUACGGAGGAUCCGAGCGUUAUCCGGAUUUAUUGGGUUUAAAGGGUGCGUAGGCGGCCUUUUAAGUCAGCGGGGAAAGUUUGUGGGUGAACCAUAGAAUUGCCGUUGAAACUGGGGGGCUUGAGUAUGUUUGAGGCAGGCGGAAUGCGUGGUGUAGCGGUGAAAUGCUGAGAUAUCACGCAGAACCCCGAUUGCGAAGGCAGCCUGCCAAGCCAUGACUGACGCUGAUGCACGAAAGCGUGGGGAUCAAACAGGAUUAGAUACCCGGGUAGUC